GUUUUUAUAGUUGAAAAUACAACGGGGGUUUUUCGUGCCCUAGGUCUUGGUCUGGAAUCCAAGUGAGAAUA
rnacentral:tRNA from 1 species